rnacentral:rRNA from 1 species
GCCAGACUCCUACGGGAGGCAGCAGUGGGGGAUAUUGGACAGUGGGGGGAACCCUGAUCCAGCGACGCCGCGUGAGUGAAGAAGUAUCUCGGUAUGUAAAGCUCUAUCAGCAGGGAAGAAGAAAUGACGGUACCUGAGUAAGAAGCCCCGGCUAACUACGUGCCAGCAGCCGCGGUAAUACGUAGGGGGCAAGCGUUAUCCGGAAUUACUGGGUGUAAAGGGAACGUAGACGGUGAUGUAAGUCUGGAGUGAAAGGCGGGGGCCCAACCCCCGGACUGCUCUGGAAACUGUAUGACUUGAGUGCAGGAGAGGUAAGCGGAAUUCCUAGUGUAGCGGUGAAAUCCGUAGAUAUCUGGAGGAACAUCAGUGGCGAAGGCGACUAUCUGGCACAUAACUGACGCUGAGGAGCGAAAGCGUGGGUAGCAAACAGGAUUAGAUACCCCAGUACU